GAUGAACGCUGGCGGCGUGCCUAACACAUGCAAGUCGAGCGGACGGACGAGAAGCUUGCUUCUCUGAUGUUAGCGGCGGGCGGGUGAGUAACAUGUGGAUCACCUACCUAUAUGUCUGGGAUAAUUUCGGGAAACCGGAUCUAAUACCGGAUAAUAUUUUGAACCGCAUGGUGCAAAAGUGAAAGACGGUCUUGCGGUCACUUAUAGCUGCAUCCGCGCUGGAUUAGCUAGUUGGUAAGGUAACGGCUUACCAAGGCAACGAUGCAUAGCCGACCUGAGAGGGUGAUCGGCCACACUGGAACUGGGACACGGUCCAGACUCCUACGGGAGGCAGCAGUAGGGAAUGUUAGGCAAUGGGCGAAAGCCUGACGGAGCAACGCCGCGUGAGUGAUGAAGGUCUUCGGAUCGUAAAGCUCUGUUAUUAGGGAAGAACAGCUGUGUAAGUAACUGUGCACAUCUUGACGGUACCUAAUCAGAAAGCCCCGGCUAACUACGUG
rnacentral:rRNA from 1 species